rnacentral:tRNA from 1 species
CAUUAGAUGACUGAAAGCAAGUAUUGGUCUCUUAAAUCAAAUUAUAGUAUAAUAGCACAUACUUCUAAUGA